AGUGAACGCUGGCGGUAGGCCUAACGCAUGCAAGUCGAACGGCAGCACAGUAAGAGCUUGCUCUUACGGGUGGCGAGUGGCGGACGGGUGAGGAAUACAUCGGAAUCUACUUUUUCGUGGGGGAUAACGUAGGGAAACUUACGCUAAUACCGCAUACGACCUACGGGUGAAAGCAGGGGAUCUUCGGACCUUGCGCGAUUGAAUGAGCCGAUGUCGGAUUAGCUAGUUGGCGGGGUAAAGGCCCACCAAGGCGACGAUCCGUAGCUGGUCUGAGAGGAUGAUCAGCCACACUGGAACUGAGACACGGUCCAGACUCCUACGGGAGGCAGCAGUGGGGAAUAUUGGACAAUGGGCGCAAGCCUGAUCCAGCCAUACCGCGUGGGUGUAGAAGGCCUUCGGGUUGUAAAGCCCUUUUGUUGGGAAAGAAAAGCAGCAGGUUAAUACCCCGCUGUUCUGACGGUACCCAAAGAAUAAGCACCGGCUAACUUCGUG
rnacentral:rRNA from 1 species